rnacentral:rRNA from 1 species
AUUGAACGCUGGCGGCAGGCCUAACACAUGCAAGUCGAGCGGAUGAAGGGAGCUUGCUCCUGGAUUCAGCGGCGGACGGGUGAGUAAUGCCUAGGAAUCUGCCUGGUAGUGGGGGAUAACGUCCGGAAACGGGCGCUAAUACCGCAUACGUCCUGAGGGAGAAAGUGGGGGAUCUUCGGACCUCACGCUAUCAGAUGAGCCUAGGUCGGAUUAGCUAGUUGGUGGGGUAAAGGCCUACCAAGGCGACGAUCCGUAAAUGGUCUGAGAGGAUGAUUAGUCACACUGGAACUGAGACACGGUCCAGACUCCUACGGGAGGCAGCAGUGGGGAAUAUUGGACAAUGGGCGAAAGCCUGAUCCAGCCAUGCCGCGUGUGUGAAGAAGGUCUUCGGAUUGUAAAGCACUUUAAGUUGGGAGGAAGGGCAGUAAGUUAAUACCUUGCUGUUUUGACGUUACCAACAGAAUAAGCACCGGCUAACUUCGUG